rnacentral:rRNA from 1 species
AUGAACGCUGGCGGCGUGCCUAAUACAUGCAAGUCGAGCGCACGGACGAGAAGCUUGCUUCUCUGAUGUUAGCGGCGGACGGGUGAGUAACACGUGGAUAACCUACCUAUAAGACUGGGAUAACUUCGGGAAACCGGAGCUAGUACCGGAUAAUAUUUUGAACCGCAUGGUUCAAAAGUGAAAGACGGUCUUGCUGUCACUUAUAGAUGGAUCCGCGCUGCAUUAGCUAGUUGGUAAGGUAACGGCUUACCAAGGCAACGAUGCAUAGCCGACCUGAGAGGGUGAUCGGCCACACUGGAACUGAGACACGGUCCAGACUCCUACGGGAGGCAGCAGUAGGGAAUCUUCCGCAAUGGGCGAAAGCCUGACGGAGCAACGCCGCGUGAGUGAUGAAGGUCUUCGGAUCGUAAAACUCUGUUAUUAGGGAAGAACAUAUGUGUAAGUAACUGUGCACAUCUUGACGGUACCUAAUCAGAAAGCCACGGCUAACUACGUG